UACGGGGGGGGGCAAGCGUUGUUCGGAAUUACUGGGCGUAAAGGGCUCGUAGGCGGCCAACUAAGUCAGACGUGAAAUCCCUCAGCUUAACUGGGGAACUGCGUCUGAUACUGGAUGGCUUGAGUUCGGGAGAGGGAUGCGGAAUUCCAGGUGUAGCGGUGAAAUGCGUAGAUAUCUGGAGGAACACCGGUGGCGAAGGCGGCAUCCUGGACCGACACUGACGCUGAGGAGCGAAAGCCAGGGGAGCAAACGGG
rnacentral:rRNA from 1 species